rnacentral:rRNA from 1 species
UAGGGAAUCUUCCGCAAUGGGCGAAAGCCUGACGGAGCAACGCCGCGUGAGUGAUGAAGGGCUUCGGAUCGUAAAACUCUGUUAUGAGGGAAGAACAAAUGUGUAAGUAACUAUGCACGUCUGGACGGGACCUAAGCAGAAAGCCACGGCUAACGACGUGCCAGCAGCCGCGGUAAUACGUAGGUGGCAAGCGUUAUCCGGAAUUAUUGGGCGUAAAGCGCGCGUAGGCGGUUUUUUAAGUCUGAUGUGAAAGCCCACGGCUCAACCGUGGAGGGUCAUUGGAAACUGGAAAACUUGAGUGCAGAAGAGGAAAGUGGAAUUCCAUGUGUAGCGGUGAAAUGCGCAGAGAUAUGGAGGAACACCAGUGGCGAAGGCGACUUUCUGGUCUGUAACUGACGCUGAUGUGCGAAAGCGUGGGGAUCAAACAGG